UGGACUUUCAUAAAACUCUAGUGCAGGUUCGC
rnacentral:piRNA from 1 species